rnacentral:rRNA from 1 species
GAUCGUUUGAACGUUCGAGAUGAGCUUUCCCUUCGGGGACAAAGUGACAGGUGGUGCAUGGUUGUCGUCAGCUCGUGUCGUGAGAUGUUGGGUUAAGUCCCGCAACGAGCGCAACCCUUAUUACUAGUUGCCAGCAUUCAGUUGGGCACUCUAGUGAGACUGCCGGUGACAAACCGGAGGAAGGUGGGGAUGACGUCAAAUCAUCAUGCCCCUUAUGACCUGGGCUACACACGUGCUACAAUGGCAAGUACAACGAGCAGCUAACCCGCGAGGGUACGCGAAUCUCUUAAAACUUGUCUCAGUUCGGAUUGUAGGCUGCAACUCGCCUACAUGAAGUCGGAAUCGCUAGUAAUCGCGGAUCAGCACGCCGCGGUGAAUACGUUCCCGGGUCUUGUACACACCGAGA